AAAGUGCGAAAUGUAGUGCGAUUUGCAUGAAUCUGUGAGUCAUCUAAUCUUUGAACGCAACUUGCGCCUCGCGAGAGGCAUGUCUGUUUGAGGGCCUGUUCUCUAAAUGUUGGCAUUGACUAACAACUAGUCUCUGCUCAAAGACAGCAGUGUCUAGGCUUCUGCCGCGUGCUAAGCAUUAGCGGCGUGGAGCUCUUUACUACUGGCCUCAAAUCAGGCAAGACUACCCGCUGAACUUAA
rnacentral:misc_RNA from 1 species